rnacentral:rRNA from 1 species
AACGAACGCUGGCGGCAUGCCUAACACAUGCAAGUCGAACGAGACCUUCGGGUCUAGUGGCGCACGGGUGCGUAACGCGUGGGAACCUGCCCUUAGGCUCGGAAUAACUCCCCGAAAGGGGUGCUAAUACCGGAUAAUGUCUUCGGACCAAAGAUUUAUCGCCUUUGGAUGGGCCCGCGUUGGAUUAGCUAGUUGGUAGGGUAAAAGCCUACCAAGGCGACGAUCCAUAGCUGGUCUGAGAGGAUGAUCAGCCACACUGGGACUGAGACACGGCCCAGACUCCUACGGGAGGCAGCAGUGGGGAAUAUUGGACGAUGGGCGAAAGCCUGAUCCAGCAAUGCCGCGUGAGCGAUGAAGGCCUUAGGGUUGUAAAGCUCUUUUACCCGGGAUGAUAAUGACAGUACCGGGAGAAUAAGCUCCGGCUAACUCCGUG